CUUUAAGGAAUUGUUUUAAUUGCAAAAACAUAGAAAAGGUUCAUCUGUAUUGUCCAUCUCUAUGACUAGCACCAUCAACUACCCACUUAGCUUUGAAAUGAGUUCCUCCACGUACUCCUUUCCAGCUCUGGGAGGAUUGCGGCCCUGUGUUCCUCUUCUGAAGAACU